AAACAGACGAGAUGAUGAUUGGCACUGUUCAGUAGUCCUUUACGUUGGGUGAUCAUUAUUUCUCUGACAUUAUUAAAGUCAUUCUUGGGGCCGCCAUUCUUUGUAAGAUUCACACUAGCCCUUACUGCAGAAUGAACUUAAUCUUGACAAACUUUUAAAGCUAAUAUAAGGGAAUUCCAUCGAAAGUUUUAUAAAUUCCAUACAGUAUCAUGAGUGUGGAUACAUAAGAGACUAAAUCUGGGGAAAUGAAAACAUUGUAGAGGAUGCAUUCAAAUAAAGGGAAAAAGAUUAGUACUUACAGCUCUAAGAAUAAUUUACAGAAAAUGAAGACUUUUAAAAUGGAAGGAAAAGCAAAAAAGAUGGGCUGCCUGAACAAAGAAACACUGCGGAGAGAUAGGCAGAUGACAUGGGAAGAGAGAAUGAAUUUCUUGAUGCCAAAGAUGAACAUUGGAAUUCAAAAGGAUUUAUAUGAAGGUACAGA